rnacentral:rRNA from 1 species
CGGGACACGUGGUAUCCUGUCUGAAUAUGGGGGGACCAUCCUCCAAGGCUAAAUACUCCUGACUGACCGAUAGUGAACCAGUACCGUGAGGGAAAGGCGAAAAGAACCCCGGCGAGGGGAGUGAAAAAGAACCUGAAACCGUGUACGUACAAGCAGUGGGAGCCUCUUAAUGGGGUGACUGCGUACCUUUUGUAUAAUGGGUCAGCGACUUAUAUUCUGUAGCAAGGUUAACCGAAUAGGGGAGCCGAAGGGAAACCGAGUCUUAACUGGGCGUUAAGUUGCAGGGUAUAGACCCGAAACCCGGUGAUCUAGCCAUGGGCAGGUUGAAGGUUGGGUAACACUAACUGGAGGACCGAA